AUGCCCUUCUGUACUUGCUUGCCUGGGCUUAUGGGUUACACUGUCCAAUUUUACCAUACAAGCUCUAACAGGAUUGCUUUGCAAACAACUGCUUCAGGUGGGGAUUUCUUCUGCAGUAGACACGCUCAGUUUGGAGCUGGAUCUCUCAGAUGCAUGAUGUCCGACAGUUUACAGCUAUACCCGACCAAUACAGCGGGCAGCCAUGUGGAGGUGAAAUGUCUUCUUGAUAGGUGAAUUCAGGGCAAGGGAAAUCGUAACAUUCUCUACUUGUCUCUCGGCUGAAAAGCUAGAGAAGCAGAAAGGAGGUUGGCUUUACCUGCAUUCUUUGCUUAGGGAGUAGAGAACGAAGCCGGCAACACCAGCUGUAAGAAGGUUUUGCGAAGUGAUGAGCUCAUUCAUUCUCCUCUCCUUUCAUACCUCCCUGUCAGUCUCCCCCUCAAAUAAUUAAAUGCAAAAGCUACUUGAGUGCAGUGAUAGGCUACAGAUUUAAACCCAUAAGAGUCAAGAACUGUAGAACUAAAAGUCCUUAGGGGGGCAUUAACUUUGCCACUUUUAUGUCAGUAUAGUAAGCUAUUCAUUUAAUGGCCUAAUUUGUAAUCACAAAUACCAUGGGAAAUUUUGCUAUGCCAACCUCUAGCUUUAGCUUUUUUUUCUGACUUGGUUGGUGGUUUUGAAUAGUGUAACCAUUUAGAAAUUUGUUUUUAGCAUUUAGCAGUCCAGAUCACUGACAGAUUGUUACUUAUUAGUCACAUUCUUUUCAACUCUCCGUCCUUCCCAAUAUAAUAAAUUUGGCAAAGUCUAAUGAGAGUACGUGCAUCUAUAAAGAUAAGAUUAAAUAACAGAGUUGUUCUGUUCUCAUUUGCUUAGCUGAUUUAUAUGGUCCAAUGAAGACUGGAUUACCUAGAGGGUAGUAACAGGAGUCAUAACUAACCAGUAGUAAAGAUUCUAUUUAGAAUUUGUAUCUAAAGGACCACUCUGGUUGACUGAGUGCAUUAAGGAUUCCAGUUAAUAUAUGCAUACUUUUUGUCAUGUGAGUUUGUAGGUCUUUGUCACUUGGCAAUAGGCUUAAUCAUAUGAUUUACUUUAUCUAGUCAUAUGCUUUAGCAAAUGUGACAAACAGAAGCUUGGAAACCACUUGAAAUUUUCUACUUGUUCUCAUGAGAAUAUGCUUGGCCCAGCCUUCUAGUUUUGUAAGAUAACCAUUUCAUUUCAGUCAAAGCCAGCCUAGACAAGCCACCUCCAACCCACACUGUAGCUAAUUGUAACUGCAUACACGAGUGCUUGUAGCUCUGCUCACCCUUACCUGGCCCAGAUUAGCAGAACCAGUCAAUUUGUAGACUUGAAACAAAUAGUUCAGUAAUGUUGUUUAAGCCAGACAGCUUUGGCACAUCUGAAAGACAGCACGGUUUUGACAGUCGUUAAUGGAUAUGCCUUCCCAUCCACUUUCUAGCAUCAGAAAAUGAAGAAUAUGCUUCACUCACUUCUUUAAAAGAGUUUCUUUGAGGAUAUGAGCCUCACAUGGUGGAGUUAUACAGCACAUGUCAUUUAGCCCUGCUGCUGUUCUGCAACCCUGCUCUUGGAAGUUGCAGCAGUCCUUUGUACCUUCCAUUCUUAUUUCGCGUUGCAGGGAGAUAUUUUGACUAAAAAUGCUCAGUACUAGUACUUCUCACAGCCUGCUUCCCUGUCCUUAUUGCUGUCCCCAUCCCCUUUCCCAUUUGAGACUUGGCUAGGGAACGCAGCAGCUCUGCAAGCCUGAGAUGAUUUUGUGAAUAAGGUCUUCGCUUUCCCGUCUCAAAAUAUGCUGAAGACGGAAAGGUUUUCUGACACACACCAGCAAGGUAGAAAGCCUCUGUAAGGAGCAGCUUUCGACUUGAAGGUGCAUCUUGAAAGGUUUUACCAACUACCCUCCUUACUGCCAAGAAGUACCCUGUCUCUUCAGGAUGAGGACAAAUCAUCUCCUCUCCGCCUGAUGUGGAGUUCCCAAAGUACCGGAUUCACAUACCACAAAUUUCAUUUCUGACUACAAGGGUUUUAAUCGUGUUAUCAUAUGCCUCACAAUCUGUUGCUAAGUCUGUUCAUAUGUAGUUUCCAUUGACUGAUUAAUAGCCAGAGUUAAAGACCUGUGUUAGGGAGCAUUAAAGAUAGUAAUGAGGGAAUAAACUCCAUUCUAAUGGUUAACUUGGAUAAAAUGUAAACUGAAACUCUGUGAUCAAGAUCAAGUAUACUAGAUCUGUUUUUCUGAACUAAAUUUUUUAUUAUCAGAGUCAAGGAGAAAACCCAGCUUGAACAAUUUAAAUGCCACCUUUAAUAACCAACAGCAUAUUCUUAGCCAUUGAAACUCUAGAGUGAAUAACUAUUUUUCAAGGAAGGCAUAGAUUCUUCUAUUAGAUGGCUGAACAUUAAAAUGCUGGAAUUUAGACAUUUUUAUGAAAAAAACAAGCGCUGUUUCAAUGAUGAGUAUGAAAGGUGCUUGGGCCUUUGGCUGACAGAACUUUUCAAAAUACCAGCCACGAGAUGGCAAGCAAAGAGGAACGAGUGGCCCACAGACUGUCUCAGAACACGUUCCUAUAGAGUAUAGAGUCUUAUGUUGCCUGACUGGACUUUACAUGAGUAUAUUUUUAUUUUUAACUGGUACUCAUAUUGCUUCAUUGUGCGUAUAUCAUCCUUAGCAGUUGUUCGAUAUGCUGAGGUGGCAUGAACUAGGUAGAGAGACCUGUAUGACUGUGCCUGCAGGGAAGGGGAGAGAUAGAGCUACCAAACUUGUGCUGAAAUUCACUACUCAUCAUUUAUUAGCUGUAUGGCCUUCGAUAGCUCUGAGUUUCAAGAAUCUCAUUUGCAGAGUGGAAAGUGGGGAGGUAACAGCUACAUAGUUUAAUAAGAGGACUAAAUGAAAUAGUACCUGUAUGUAGGGUGGAUUCUGGAGCAGGGCAGGCGCUUGAUAAACAUUCAUACCCUAUUUUGAUCCUGCUUUCCCCCCGUUUUAACACUUAGAGAAGUUCCUGGUGUGCCUUGGUGGGAAGGACUGGGCACAGGGAAUAUUUUGAAGCAUUCAUACUCCUUGGAGCAGCUCUAUGAAGCCAGCA
ensembl:lincRNA